UUCUCCUCGAUCGCCCGCCUG
rnacentral:miRNA from 1 species